rnacentral:rRNA from 1 species
AGAGUAACUGUUGACAUCGUGACGGUAUCCAACCAGAAAGCCACGGCUAACUACGUGCCAGCAGCCGCGGUAAUACGUAGGUGGCAAGCGUUGUCCGGAUUUAUUGGGCGUAAAGCGAGCGCAGGCGGUUUUUUAGGUCUGAUGUGAAAGCCUUCGGCUUAACCGGAGAAGUGCAUCGGAAACCGGGAGACUUGAGUGCGGAAGAGGACAGUGGAACUCCAUGUGUAGCGGUGAAAUGCGUAGAUAUAUGGAAGAACACCAGUGGCGAAGGCGGCUGUCUGGUCUGCAACUGACGCUGAGGCUCGAAAGCAUGGGUAGCGAACAGGAUUAGAUACCCUGGUAGUCCAUGCCGUAAACGAUGAGUGCUAAGUGUUGGAGGGUUUCCGCCCUUCAGUGCUGCAGCUAACGCAUUAAGCAUUCCGCCUGGGGAGUACGACCGCAAGGUUGAAACUCAAAGGAAUUGACGGGGGCCCGCACAAGCGGUGGAGCAUGUGGUUUAAUUCGAUGCUACGCGAAGAACCUUACCAGGUCUUGACAUCUUCUGCUAACCUAAGAGAUUAGGCGUUCCCUUCGGGGACGGAAUGACAGGUGGUGCAUGGUUGUCGUCAGCUCGUGUCGUGAGAUGUUGGGUUAAGUCCCGCAACGAGCGCAACCCUUAUUGUCAGUUGCCAGCAUUUAGUUGGGCACUCUGGCGAGACUGCCGGUGAUAAACCGGAGGAAGGUGGGGAUGACGUCAAAUCAUCAUGCCCCUUAUGGCCUGGGCUACACACGUGCUACAAUGGACGGUACAACGAGUCGCGAAACCGCGAGGUCAAGCUAAUCUCUGAAAGCCGUUCUCAGUUCGGAUUGCAGGCUGCAACUCGCCUGCAUGAAGUUGGAAUCGCUAGUAAUCGUGGAUCAGCAUGCCACGGUGAAUACGUUCCCGGGCCUUGUACACACCGCCCGUCACACCAUGAGAGUUUGUAACACCCAAAGCCGGUGAGGUAACCUUCGGGAACCAGCCGUCUAAGGUGGGACAGAUGAUUAGGGUGAAGUCGUAACAAGGUAGCCGUAGGAGAACCUGCGGCUGGAUCACCUCCUUUCUAA